rnacentral:rRNA from 1 species
AUUGAACGCUAGCGGCAGGCCUAACACAUGCAAGUCGAGCGGGGUUUUCGGACCUAGCGGCGGACGGGUGAGAAAUGCGUAGGAAGCUGCCCGAUAGAGGGGGAUACCAGUUGGAAACGACUGUUAAUACCGCAUAAUGUCUACGGACCAAAGUGGGGGACCUUCGGGCCACAUGCUAUCGGAUGCGCCUGGGUGGGAUUAGCUAGUUGGUGAGGUAAUGGCACACCAAGGCGACGAUCUCUAGCUGGUUUGAGAGGAUGAUCAGCCACACUGGAACUGAGACACGGUCCAGACUCCUACGGGAGGCAGCAGUGGGGAAUAUUGGACAAUGGGCGCAAGCCUGAUCCAGCCAUGCCGCGUGUGUGAAGAAGGCCUUCGGGUUGUAAAGCACUUUCAGCGAGGAGGAAGGGUGGUGUGUUAAUAGCACAUCAUUUUGACGUUACUCGCAGAAGAAGCACCGGCUAACUCUGUGCCAGCCGCCGCGGUAACAC